rnacentral:tRNA from 1 species
GGCGAUGUAGCUCAGUUGGCUAGAGCGUCCGGUUCAUACCCGGAAGGUCGUGGGUUCAACCCCCUCCGUCGCUACCA